rnacentral:rRNA from 1 species
UACGGGGGGGGGCAAGCGUUGUUCGGAAUUACUGGGCGUAAAGGGCGCGUAGGCGGCCUGCUAAGUCGGACGUGAAAUCCCUCGGCUCAACCGGGGAACUGCGUCCGAUACUGGCGAGGCUUGAAUCCGGGAGAGGGAUGUGGAAUUCCAGGUGUAGCGGUGAAAUGCGUAGAUAUUGGGAGGAACACCAGUGGCGAAGGCGGCUCACUGGACCGGUACUGACGCUGAUGCGCGAAAGCGUGGGGAGCAAACAGG